AAUCGCCUCCGGGUGACUCUCCACCCUUUGUUAUUAUACCUUUGUUGCUUUGGCGAGCCGCCUCGGCCACCGGCUCACGCUGGUGAGUGCUCGCCAGAGGACCCCAAACUCUGAAUAUUAGUGUCGUCCGAGUAUUAUAUAAUAGUUAAAACUUUCAACAACGGAUCUCUUGGUUCUGGCAUCGAUGAAGAACGCAGCGAAAUGCGAUAAGUAAUGUGAAUUGCAGAAUUCAGUGAAUCAUCGAAUCUUUGAACGCACAUUGCGCCCUGUGGUAUUCCGCAGGGCAUGCCUGUUCGAGCGUCAGUACAACACUCAAGCCUAGCUUGGUAUUGAGCCACGUCCGCAAGGGCCGGCUUUAAAAUCAGUGGCGGCGCCAUCUGGCUCUCAGCGUAGUAAUACUCCUCGCUGUUGAGUUCUGGUGGAUGCUGGCCAGCAACCCCUAACUUCUAAGU
rnacentral:sRNA from 1 species